rnacentral:rRNA from 1 species
GAUGAACGCUAGCGGGAGGCCUAACACAUGCAAGCCGAGCGGUAUUUGUUCUUCGGAACAGAGAGAGCGGCGCACGGGUGCGGAACACGUGUGCAACCUGCCUUUAUCUGGGGGAUAGCCUUUCGAAAGGAAGAUUAAUACCCCAUAAUAUAUUGAGUGGCAUCACUUGAUAUUGAAAACUCCGGUGGAUAGAGAUGGGCACGCGCAAGAUUAGAUAGUUGGUGAGGUAACGGCUCACCAAGUCAAUGAUCUUUAGGGGGCCUGAGAGGGUGAUCCCCCACACUGGUACUGAGACACGGACCAGACUCCUACGGGAGGCAGCAGUGAGGAAUAUUGGACAAUGGGUUAGCGCCUGAUCCAGCCAUCCCGCGUGAAGGACGACGGCCCUAUGGGUUGUAAACUUCUUUUGGAUAGGGAUAAACCUACUCUCGUGAGAGUAGCUGAAGGUACUAUACGAAUAAGCACCGGCUAACUCCGUG